AGUGAACGUUGGCGGCGUGGAUUAGGCAUGCAAGUCGAGCGAGAACCGUAGCAAUACGGGGACAGCGGCGAAAGGGACAGUAAUGUGUAGGUACCUACCUCCGGGUUCGGGAUAGCUGCGGGAAACUGCAGGUAAUACCGAAUAACGUCUCCGGACCAAAGGUGUGAUUCCACCUGGAGAGGGGCCUGCAUCCUAUUAGCUUGUUGGCGGGGUAACGGCCCACCAAGGCGACGAUGGGUAGCGGGUGUGAGAGCACGACCCGCGUCAUUGGGACGGAGACACGGCCCGGACACCUACGGGUGGCUGCAGUGGUGAAUCUUCGGCAAGGGGCGCAAGCCUGACCGGGCGACGCCGCGUGCGGGAUGAAGGCCUUCGGGUUGUAAACCGCUGUCGUAGAGGAGGAAAUGCAGGGGGGUUCUCCCCUCUGUUUGACCUAUUCUAGGAGGAAGUACGGGCUAAGUUCGUGCCAGCAGCCGCCGUAA
rnacentral:rRNA from 1 species